AUUGAACGCUAGCGGGAUGCCUUACACAUGCAAGUCGAACGGAGUGGCGAACGGGUGAGUAAUGUAUCGGAACGUGCCCAGUAGCGGGGGAUAACUACGCGAAAGCGUAGCUAAUACCGCAUACUAUUGGAGCGGCCGAUAACGGAUUAGCUAGGUGGUGGGGUAACGGCUCACCAAGGCGACGAUCCGUAGCUGGUUUGAGAGGACGACCAGCCACCUGGGGAAUGAGACACGGCCCAGCACCCUACGGGAGGAAGAAGUGGGGAAUUUUGGACAAGGGGGGAAACCCUUAUCCAGCCAUCCCGCGUGUGCGAUGAAGGCCUUCGGUUUGUAAAGAACUUUUGGCAGGAAAGCGGUACCUGAAAAAUAAGCACCGGCUAACUACGUGCCAGCCGCCGCGGUAAUAC
rnacentral:rRNA from 1 species